rnacentral:tRNA from 1 species
ACUCGUUUAGCUUAAUAGGAUAAAGCAUUAACCUUCUAAGUUAAGGAGUAUAGGUUCAAAUCCUAUAACGAGUA